GGUGCAAGACUCGGCGCACUGCUCAGUAACACGUGGACAACUACCCUCAGGAGGGGGAUAACCCCGGGAAACUGGGGAUAAUACCCCAUAGGCCAGUGAUGCUGGAAUGCCUCCUGGUUCAAAGGUCCGCCGCCUGAGGAUGGGUCUGCGGCCGAUUAGGUUGUUGUUGGGGUAACGGCCCAACAAGCCUUUGAUCGGUACGGGUUGUGAGAGCAAGAGCCCGGAGAUGGAUUCUGAGACACGAAUCCAGGCCCUACGGGGCGCAGCAGGCGCGAAAACUUUACAAUGCGAGAAAUCGUGAUAAGGGAACCCCGAGUGCCCGUAAAUUCGGGCUGUCCGCCAGUGCAAAUAGCUGGUGAAGAAAGGGCCGGGCAAGACCGGUGCCAGCCGCCGCGGUAAUACCGGCGGCUCGAGUGGUGGCCACUAUUACUGGGCUUAAAGCGUCCGUAGCUUGAUUGUUAAGUCUCUUGGGAAAUCCACCGGCUCAACCGAUGGGCGUUCAGGAGAAACUGGCAAUCUAGGGACCGGGAGAGGUGAGAGGUACUCCAGGGCGUAGGAGUGAAAUCCUGUAAUCCUUGGGGGACCACCUGUGGCGAAGGCGUCUCACUAGAACGGCUCCGACAGUGAGGG
rnacentral:rRNA from 1 species